CUUUGGCAGAACACAGAUAUACUAAAAUUGAAACGAUGAAGAGCAGAUUGGCAUGGCCCCUGCGCAAGGAUGACACAUAAAGUCAAGACCGAUACACAACAAAU